AUAAACUUUAGACAAAAAACAUUAAAACAUAUAAGCUGCCGUCUUCUUUGGGAACCUUAGCCCCUUCUUUCUCAUUCUUCGAUUUGUUCAUACAAGCUUCGAUGCGAUCAUUCUGGUUGAGUAAAAGCUCAUACAAGCUCUUAUGGUCAAUUAGAAGGUCAUACAAGCUCCGAUUUGUUUCCUUUAGAGUUUCGAUUGUUCGAUUUGCUGGUACAAACUCAUAAAACCUCCGGUUUUCAAUGGGGUCAUGUGGGUGUAAGAGGGUCAAGUGGGUUUCGACCGGACUUUAAAGCUAGAAGUUCAGGUGGGUUUCAAUUGGAGUUUGGAGUUUUUGUUUGUGAUUGGAGUUUGGAUGUUUGGGUUUUGGUUAGUAGCGAGGAAACCAAAGCGAGGCUAUAAAGGAGGAGCUGUCUUCUUUAGAAUUGCGGCCAGAAGAAGAGCUUGAUGCACACAAUGCUGCCAAGAUGGUGUUUUAUUUAUACAUAUCUUUUUAUAUUUAAUUUUCUAAUCUUGUUUGUAUAUGUUCAUUAUUGAUAGUUUACUCACUUUCACUCUCUGUUUACUUAGCCUAUGUGUGAUAAAAGCUAACCAUUACGUACAAAAAACUUUGAAACUUACUUUAAUACUACCAGUAGAACUUAAAGUAGUUACUUUUAAGUAUAAUGCAGGUUACUAGACUUGUAAAAGAAGAUCACCGCUGAUUGCACUGAAGGUGGCAUUCUCACUGCUUCAUAUGGGUACAUACGGGGGGCAUGAAGGGAAAAGUAUAUGUACCUCGUACAUUCAUGAGGUAUAAAAACUAAUUCAUUAUUUUUUUUAUAUCAUAUAUAUUUGCUGAUGCUUCUCCCAUCAGCUUUGAUUAGAUAAUGUUGUGAUUCUCUAUAAUUGCUAACCAUCCAUAGUAGAAUAAGGGCUGCGUCUAUGGAAAAUGGUACACAAAUCAAUCUACCUCAUUUUUUAAUUAUUUACCUUUGAUUAUAUUGCAUAGUAGUACUUAUGUAAGACUAUCUCAUUAUUGCAGGCUACUAAAAUUAGUGUAGGAGUUGAUGUUUGCAUGGUUAAUGAAAGAGGCUUCUAUUUCAACCUUGCAGAAGUUCAGAAACCUCUUUAUGCUAAUAUGACUAAUUUAAGUAUGAAUGGGUCAUGUGCACAAGGUUCAUGUAACAUAUAUAACUAAAUUGUCGACAAACAUAUGUAGUAUUUGUACUUAUAGAAUUUAUAUUUGGUUCUUGUUAUUGCCUUGCAGUCUAUUAAACUACACUUAUGCAGAUGAAAAUAUAGAAUGCAGCUUUUAGUCACUUAAGAAUGAGGAGGAUGGGAAUGCAGCUUCUCAACAUAGUGAUGAAUGAAGAUUUUUAGUCACUUUUUAUUUUUACUUCUUCAUCUAUUCUUGCUUUUAGAUUGACUUUUGUAAGGAUGGUUUAUAAAUUGGUACAUUACUCCGGUUUCUAUGUAUCUUUCAACUUGAUGACUCGGUUUGUACUUUGUAUUUUCUUUUGGUUAGUUUCAAGUCAAGAAAAUUUCAUAGUA